CAGCCGCCGCGGGAAUACGUAGGGGGCAAGCGUUGUCCGGAAUUAUUGGGCGUAAAGGGUGCGUAGGCGGUUUGACAAGUCAUCUGUGAAAUCUCUGGGCUCAACCCAGAGUCUGCAGGCGAAACUGUCGGGCUUGAGUAUGGGAGAGGUGAGUGGAAUUUCCGGUGUAGCGGUGAAAUGCGUAGAUAUCGGAAGGAACACCUGUGGCGAAAGCGGCUCACUGGACCAUAACUGACGCUGAUGCACGAAAGCUAGGGGAGCAAACAGGAUUAGAUACCCCUGUAGUCCCUGUCUCUUAUAC
rnacentral:rRNA from 1 species